AUCUAACAUAGCUCUGUCGGUAUAGCAUGAAACUCUUAAUCUCAGGAAUGUGGGUUCGAGCCCCAUAUUGGGCG